UUAAAAUCAAUAUUUAUUGAAUUUAGGUCUACCAGCUACCCCAACCAAAGAAGUUUCUGUAAAGAAAGGAGUACUUCAAACCCAGCUCUGUUUCGUUAUACUGUGCAUAUGGCAGAAGUGGUAUAAGGAAAUAAUAUAAUUGACAGCAACAACAACAAAAAAUUAUGAAUUUUUCCAUUGAUUGGUGGUGGAGGGGAUAAUAUUGUUGUCAGUUUUAGAAGUAGAAGAAAAAGUAAAUGACUCGGAUCAAAGACCUUUUCUGAACAAAUUGAGAAAACAGAAGUCUACAAAACAGAUCAAAGAUGAUAAAAAGGACGAUGUUUAUGCUCUGGAAAGAAAAAGAUGCUGUUGGAAAUAGAGGACAUUAAGUAAAAGAAAAGCAAAGACCAACAGCUAUUUCUGUUAGAAAAAUAAAAAAAAAAACAAUAAAUUAAAGUGAUCAGUUUUUCCAUUUGAAAACGAGGGUAUAAUAAUGUAUCUACAUUUGUGUGCGCAUUUUAGCGUUGUGAUCAAAUAUAUAUUUCCCCUGAAAAGAAUGUAAUAUAAAUUUGUACAAUAGUGUAAUUGUCCCCGGGAUGGAUCAUGAUGUAUAUUAUAAAUAUUCAGCGUGUCAUGUGCAGAACCCAGACCCUUAUCUCAAAGGUCAAGGUAGCAAUGUUUGGUAACGUUUUUGUAAUAAGCUGGUAUAGAUCUAGUAACUGUUACUGGGAAUGAUUUGAAUUUCACGCAUACGUUGAUUGUGAUGACAUGACAGACACUGUGUAAGUUCCAGAACUCUGUUUUGAUAUUAUGGCUCUUUUUUACUCGGGAUUUUUUUUGUUGAAAAUAUUGUUUGGAUCUACUUUAAUUUAAUACUAUCAGAGAUGUGUACAUUUGUUUCUCAUUAUGCGAGUAAAUAGACCAAGAAUCAUUACUCAGACAUGCAUUUUGUUAGUAUGAGGUGGAUGAAUUUUGUUAUGACCCUUUGUUGUCUUUAUGUAUUUUUUUUUGUUAAACUUUUAGUUAAGAUUCACUUUUCAAAUACUAAAAAUGUUGCAGCUUUUAAACUUUAUACACAGUAACACUUGUCUUAAUUAUAAUUAGAUCAGUAAGUAGUAAGAACCAUAGCUCUCUCUCUUUCUUGCAUCUUUUAAACAGUGUACACUUUUCUCAGUUAUCAUUGAAUUAGUAAGGAGUAAGAACCAUAGCUUUCUUUGCAGCUUUUAAACUAAGUACACUUUUCUUAAUUAUCAAUAUUGUCACCAAACUUGGUGGAUAGCAAGCUUAUAUAAAUACUUUACUAGUGGUUGUACUUAAGGCUGAAAAUGUGGUUUUAUGCCAGUGUUCUGUUCAGAAAUUGCAUAAAUGAAGCAGACAUUGUCUGAAAGUGAUCUCUAGAUUAAGUUUUAAAAUGAUCUCUUUCGCUUAUAACGAAAUUUAUUAGUUUAUCAAUUCUAUACAUUUAUAUAUAAUUCUUUUAACUCAUUAUGUUAAAAUACAUAUAAUAACAUUCUUAUAUAUUUUGAAAUUGAAAAAAAAAUGAUAAAUAUUCUUUUCCUGUACAUCUAUAAUUAUGAAGAAAAAUGUGAUAAAAUUUCAAACAAGUCAUGUGGGUUGUCAAUAAAAUUUUAACAG
rnacentral:lncRNA from 1 species